rnacentral:lncRNA from 1 species
AGAGAGCAAGGGCGAUUGGAAAAUUCCCUUCUCUGAGGACAUGGAUAUCAGUGCUUAUGGAAAGCAAGCCGUCUGGAAGGAAGAACUCAUGAGUGACGACUGGAAAGCGAUGGCUCAAGAUUUUCGUCGGCGGAGAUACAAUGGCAAGUGAAAGUUUGAAGCAGAGACUUGUUGAGGUGUUCUCAAUGCGAGCAGUAUGCAAGGACAAGACACUCGCCACCUCCUGGGCUAAAGACCUUGGCCUGGAAGGAGAUAACCUACUGUGGAUGCGUUUUAGUGCAACACACCCUCUGUUGAGCCCUGCUUUGUGUGAGAUAGACAGGAUGCAGGUAGGGAUCUUCCCUACGGGUAAGCAACUUGCUUAUAGCCACUGACUUGAUGGAGUUUUCCGGUGAAUUUGCCCCUGUUGUCAACAGAACAAGCCUGAGACCCUCGAGCACCUUCUAGCAGAAUGUCCAUGCUGGGAGGAGAUAAGGGAAAGAACUAUUUGGCAGAUCCUUGACAAGAGGGUCUGUCUAAUGUCGCCAGCAGCCAUCACUCGGGCUAUAGGCGUGCUUCUAGAAGGGGAGCCUGGAACUGAGCUGGUGCAGGGCGAAUCGAAAAGACAACGCAUGACCAACUGUAUCAGACCCGAUAACACGUGGAGAGGAAACGUAGGCUCGGGUAUAGUGAUAUCAACGGCCCGUUUUCUAGCGAAGUUAGUUCCCACCCGGUGGUCUAUUGUAGCACCUAAGCUAC